rnacentral:rRNA from 1 species
CGACUGGCGGCGUGCUAUACAUGCAAGUCGAACGCUUCUUUUUCCACCGGAGCUUGCUCCACCGGAAAAAGAGGAGUGGCGAACGGGUGAGUAACACGUGGGUAACCUGCCCAUCAGAAGGGGAUAACACUUGGAAACAGGUGCUAAUACCGUAUAACAAUCGAAACCGCAUGGUUUUGAUUUGAAAGGCGCUUUCGGGUGUCGCUGAUGGAUGGACCCGCGGUGCAUUAGCUAGUUGGUGAGGUAACGGCUCACCAAGGCCACGAUGCAUAGCCGACCUGAGAGGGUGAUCGGCCACAUUGGGACUGAGACACGGCCCAAACUCCUACGGGAGGCAGCAGUAGGGAAUCUUCGGCAAUGGACGAAAGUCUGACCGAGCAACGCCGCGUGAGUGAAGAAGGUUUUCGGAUCGUAAAACUCUGUUGUUAGAGAAGAACAAGGAUGAGAGUAACUGUUCAUCCCUUGACGGUAUCUAACCAGAAAGCCACGGCUAACUACGUGCCAGCAGCCGCGGUAAUACGUAGGUGGCAAGCGUUGUCCGGAUUUAUUGGGCGUAAAGCGAGCGCAGGCGGUUUCUUAAGUCUGAUGUGAAAGCCCCCGGCUCAACCGGGGAGGGUCAUUGGAAACUGGGAGACUUGAGUGCAGAAGAGGAGAGUGGAAUUCCAUGUGUAGCGGUGAAAUGCGUAGAUAUAUGGAGGAACACCAGUGGCGAAGGCGGCUCUCUGGUCUGUAACUGACGCUGAGGCUCGAAAGCGUGGGGAGCAAACAGGAUUAGAUACCCUGGUAGUCCACGCCGUAAACGAUGAGUGCUAAGUGUUGGAGGGUUUCCGCCCUUCAGUGCUGCAGCUAACGCAUUAAGCACUCCGCCUGGGGAGUACGACCGCAAGGUUGAAACUCAAAGGAAUUGACGGGGGCCCGCACAAGCGGUGGAGCAUGUGGUUUAAUUCGAAGCAACGCGAAGAACCUUACCAGGUCUUGACAUCCUUUGACCACUCUAGAGAUAGAGCUUCCCCUUCGGGGGCAAAGUGACAGGUGGUGCAUGGUUGUCGUCAGCUCGUGUCGUGAGAUGUUGGGUUAAGUC